CCUACGGGGGGCAGCAGUGAGGAAUAUUGGUCAAUGGGCGGAAGCCUGAACCAGCCAAGUAGCGUGCAGGAUGACGGCCCUACGGGUUGUAAACUUCUUUUAUACGGGAAUAACGCGCCUUACGUGUAGGGCUUUGCAUGUACCGUAUGAAUAAGGACCGGCUAAUUCCGUGCCAGCAGCCGCGGUAAUACGGAGGGUCCGGGCGUUAUCCGGAUUUAUUGGGUUUAAAGGGAGCGUAGGCCGCAUGUCAAGCGUGCUGUGAAAUGUCCGGGGUCAACCCGGGCCUUGCAGUGCAAACUGGCGUGCUUGAGUCGGAGGGAAGCAGGCGGAAUUCGUGGUGUAGCGGUGAAAUGCAUAGAUAGGGCGAAGAACCCCGAUUGCGAAGGCAGCUUGCUGGAGCGGCACUGACGCUGAUGCACGAAAGCGCGGGUAUCGAACAGGAUUAGAUACCCGAGUAGUC
rnacentral:rRNA from 1 species